GUUUGCUUCGACAGCAUCUAUUAUUAAAAUUGGAAUGAUACAGAGAAGACUAGCAUGGGCCCUGGGUAAGGAUGACAUGCAAAGUCAUGAAGCAUUCCACUAAAUA
rfam:Erinaceus europaeus unplaced genomic scaffold scaffold00026, whole genome shotgun sequence